GUUACACCUAGAGGCGUUACAGGUGUGGCUGCCAUGUCACGUGUGUGCUGGUGGGUGGCAGAGAGGAGAGAGACUAUGUCUAUGUUCAACGUUCUAACCUAUGAAUAUCUGAACCUAACAUU
rnacentral:snoRNA from 1 species